UACGUAGGGUCCGAGCGUUGUCCGGAAUUACUGGGCGUAAAGAGCUCGUAGGUGGUUUGUCGCGUUGUUCGUGAAAACUCACAGCUUAACUGUGGGCGUGCGGGCGAUACGGGCAGACUUGAGUACUGCAGGGGAGACUGGAAUUCCUGGUGUAGCGGUGGAAUGCGCAGAGUAUCAGGAGGAACACCGGUAGCGGAAGGCAGUGGGCUGGGCCGGCACUGACGCUGAGGAGCGAAAGCGUGGGGAGCGAACAGG
rnacentral:rRNA from 1 species